ensembl:lncRNA
UCUGUCCCAGUUUGUGAUUUGACCUCCAUGAAUGAGAAGCCCUGCGUCUUUAUAUGCGCUGUUCGGUGAUAAGAAUAGUGAACGCAUGGGAAUCUGUAAGCUUAGUCCUGUUACACUUUAAGGUUUCCUUGUUUUUUGAAACUUUUCUUGGAGCCGUUUGAAAUAUGAUAGCACAAACACCAAUAUGGCCUAGAUUGCCAAAAAACUCAGUAAUAUCAUGGGCAAGAAGUGGUGCACCCAGGAGAAAUACUGGAAACUUCUGGACUUGAAGUCAGAUACCUGGGUUUUGGAGCUGCCUCUGCUCCCUGAAGUCCAGGUGACCCCAGGUACAUCACGUAACUCUCUGAGCUUCCUUUCCUUAUCAAGAAAUGUGGGAAAGCGAUAAUAUCUACUCCACGAGCAUGUGUUGAGGAUGACCCAUGGUAAGUCAUGAACAAUCUGGAACCCAGGACAGGAGAAACAGAGCCAUUCCCCUAAAGACUGCACCAAUCAAGUCUGGUCUGGUAUUAAUUUGAGUAUGUGACAAACAGCAACAUCUCUAAAUGGCAGGAAACAACAAAACGGGAAAUCUGUCAGCAUCUGCAUCAUGCAGGAGAUAGAACAUCAUGCAGGUUUUCGCCUAAUGAUUGGCUCCCGGGAGAGUAAUUAGUAAUUGGCGCACUUCUUGCUGGUGCAACCUUGGCUUCUCUGCCAGAGGAUUCUGAGAAAAGACCGGCCUCAAGGCCUUGAUUCAUGGAAAAAUUACUCCAGGUGCCUGGCUGUGGGCACUGUUCAGCUUUAAUACGGUGGCACUAACACUUAUGCCUUGCACCUGUGAUGACUGAUCCAGAACCAGCAUAAAGGGAGUCUAAGCUGAGAACGACUGCUUCGAGAGCCCUUGUUCAAUUCAACAGCAGCUCUCGACAAAACGCUAACCUCUUCCCAUUGAUCACAGCAUGUCUACGUGAAAGGAAAUUAGUUUAAUACAUUCCCCUUACUAAGCCUUUCAAGGAGUUUCACUUCCAGCACAGAUGGCCACAGUGGAGUCCACCCACAAAGCAGCUCUAAUAUGGAGAAAACCAACCCACAAUUUCAGAAGAGACUAGGACUACAAAGAAUGGAAAUACAAAUGCACUAUGUGGACCAUUCUGCAGCUCCAAGAAGGAGGCGGAGGAGAGCAUUACUGCCAAACCCCGGACAUCUGCCUGGCUGCCAGCCAACCGUCACAGUAUCCUCCCUGCGAACAUUGCAUGUGGCAGCUCACACCCUUGCCAAGUCAUGAAAAUGAUUACCCUACGGCUGUAUGGUGGUGAAAUGGGAAGAGUUUCAAUGACUCAGUUUUGUAAAACACCAAGAAAAAAAAAGACAAGUGAGCACAAGGAAACGAAGAAAGACCAACAAACUUCCUUGUUUCCAAGAAGCAGAAGCACUGAGAAAUGAAAGUCAAGGUCCAUGCUAUCCAGAGAGGGCUUUCAAUUCUGAUCUUCCAUGUCAGUGUUAGUUUUUCAAUGUUGAUAACACCAUUUCUUAUUUUCCAGUAUUGCAAGCUCUCAGUCAUAUGACCUGAAAUGAAAAGAUGGAGAUGAUAUGGAUAAAUCAAACGGGAAAGUAUCAGUAGAAUAUUUUUAAAAGUACACAUUUGGCUUGGGCAGGAACUUCUUGCUUUCAUUCAGUAACAUUAAAUACCCUUUCCUAAUCAAGUUUGGCUUAGUUGAAAUCAAAAUUAGUUUCUGUUUCCUGAGCCACUGAAAGCAAGGGGAGGUGACUUAGAACAUUAUUCUGGCUAAAGCAAUUGCAGCUUAACUAAGGACAAGCCACAAAGUAGAAUCCUACAUUCAGAUAAUAUGGAACUCAAUUUAACACACACUCUUUUUUAUUUUCUUUUCUUGUGCUUUUUUUUUUUUUUUCAUGAGGAAGAUUGUCACUGAGCUCACAUCUAUGGCAACUUUCCUCUAUUUUGUAUGUCGGACACCAACAUAGCAUGGUUUGAGAAAUGGUGGGUAGGUCCACACACGAGAUUUGAACCCACAAGCCCCAGGCCUCUGAAGCAGAGCAUGCAAACUUAACCACUACACCACAGGGCAAGCCCCUGACACACAUUCUGCAUAGCAGAGCUCCACAUUCAUGACUAAGACAACCCAACCCAAUAGCAACAGCAUCACCUUCCUUCACUCCCACCAAGUGAAAAUACACUGGAGAAUGGCUAAGCUCCAAAACAGUGAGUUGCUAAUCAUGAUGGUUUCCGUGCUUCUUUUAGAGGAAAUGAGAAGAAAUCCAAUGCCUGCAUGUGUCUUUUCAGGAAAUUGCUCAUCUGUCUAAUUAAGCUCUUCUUUCUUCAUAGGUCUGUGGAUACAUUCAGCAGACACGUGGCUUCCAGAAAACCUUCUUGCCCUCUUUCUUUUGGGCAUUCGAAGUUUCUGAUGUGAUAGAAUCUCCUUAAAAUGGAGAUUUGUGAAAAUUAAAGUCUCCUUUUAAUUUUUAAAAAUUAAAUUCUCUAUGUUAAGAAGAUUCCAUCACCUUGUAUUAGUUACUGGCUAAAUUUCAUUGACAUGUCAUUAGAAAGAGUCAUUUUCUAUUGAAGCACUUUUGAAAAAGUGUGAAUUAAAGGCUUAAGGGACUAUGCAAAUAGCCUCGUGGCUUGUCACUAGCACAGAGCAUCUAGCUACUCACAGACUCCAAGUUUCUAUGUGCUCUGGCAAGCAUGUGCCAGCUUGUUUAUUUGUUUUUCAGUGGAAUAAUCAUUGUACUUUGGCCUCUGCCCGUUUCAUAAUACACCACAGAGAACCUGCCCUCCGCCUUACCUUCCACCAAUUAACCUUGCUUUAUUUCCUGUCCUUGCAAAGUCAGUACAACCCACUUCACUUCCACCACAGUAAUUUACCAUUUUCUUCCUUCUAAGCCAGGCUCUUCAUUUCUACCUCAAUUACAGAACAACGUAACAGACAUUUAUGGAGUCCUAUGUCAGAUCCUUCAGACGUGAAACAAAUAAGACAAGGGUUUUUCCCUCAAGGAGCUUGCAAUCCAAUCAGAAGAAAUAUACAGAUUUAACCAAAAACCCCACAUCCAACUACAACAGGAACAACAACAACAGGUCUUAUAAACAGCAUGCUGAAGAAGCAAAGAGGAAAAUCCAUGCUCCUUGCCCUGAAGAAGCUUCUAAAAUUCUGCCAGGCUGCAUCACCCAUCAAGUCACAGAUCAUCUGCUUUGGGAGAAGCCAGCUGUCAUGUGGAGCAGUCUCAUGGAGAAGCCCAUGGGGCAAAGAACUGAGGCCCCCAAGCCAACAGCCAGUGAGGAACUGAGGUUUGCCAACAACCACCUGUGUGUGCUUGGAAGUGUAUUCUCCAGCACCAGUAAAGCCUCGAGAUGAUGGCAGUCCUGGUUGGCAGCUUGACUACAGCCUCAUGAGAGACACAUGCCACCCAGCUAAGCUUCGAGAAACGGCUUGCAUUCCUUGGCUCUUGGCUCCCUUCUCCUAUCUUCAAAGCCAGCAAUGUAGCAUCUCCCUGACCAUAUAGCUGUCAUCAUAUCUCUUUCUCUCAGCCAGCCUGAAAAGUUAUCCACUUUUGAGGAUUCUUGUGGUUAAACUGGACCACUUACCAUGCAAAGUAACAUAUGUACAAGUUCCAUCUGGACAUCUUUGGAGCAGAGGGGCAAUAUUCUGUCUACCACAGUUAUGAGAAAUAAAGGAGAGACAUUCC